rnacentral:rRNA from 2 species
GUAGGGAAUAUUGCGCAAUGGGGGAAACCCUGACGCAGCAACGCCGCGUGAGUGAGGAAGGUCUUCGGAUUGUAAAACUCUUUUAUUAGGGAAAAAUGUCUAGGUGGCUAAUAUCCACUUAGAGUGAUGGUACCUAAGGAAUAAGCACCGGCUAACUUCGUGCCAGCAGCCGCGGUAAUACGAAGGGUGCAAGCGUUGUUCGGAAUCAUUGGGCGUAAAGCGCGCGCAGGCGGGUCAGUAAGUCAGGUGUGAAAUCUCGGAGCUCAACUCCGAAACUGCGCCUGAAACUAUUGGUCUAGAGUAUCGGAGGGGACAGGGGAAUUUCACGUGUAGGGGUAAAAUCCGUAGAGAUGUGAAGGAACACCGGAGGCGAAGGCGCCUGUCUGGACGAUUACUGACGCUGAGGCGCGAAAGCGUGGGGAGCAAACAGGAUUAGAAACCCUUGUAGUCC